GAUGAACGCUGGCGGCGUGCCUAAUACAUGCCAGUCGAGCGAACAGAUGAGGAGCUUGCUCCUCUGACGUUAGCGGCGGACGGGUGAGUAACACGUGGAUAACCUACCUAUAAGACUGGGAUAACUUCGGGAAACCGGAGCUAAUACCGGAUAAUAUAUUGAACCGCAUGGUUCAAUAGUGAAAGACGGUUUUGCUGUCACUUAUAGAUGGAUCCGCGCCGCAUUAGCUAGUUGGUAAGGUAACGGCUUACCAAGGCGACGAUGCGUAGCCGACCUGAGAGGGUGAUCGGCCACACUGGAACUGAGACACGGUCCAGACUCCUACGGGAGGCAGCAGUAGGGAAUCUUCCGCAAUGGGCGAAAGCCUGACGGAGCAACGCCGCGUGAGUGAUGAAGGUCUUCGGAUCGUAAAACUCUGUUAUUAGGGAAGAACAAAUGUGUAAGCAACUAUGCACGUCUUGACGGUACCUAAUCAGAAAGCCACGGCUAACUACGUG
rnacentral:rRNA from 1 species